rnacentral:rRNA from 1 species
UUGCACGCUGGCGGCAGGCCUCACACAUGCCAGUCGAACGGUAACAGGAAGCAGCUUGCUGCUUUGCUGACGAGUGGCGGACGGGUGAGUAAUGUCUGGGAAACUGCCCGAUGGAGGGGGAUAACUACUGGAAACGGUAGCUAAUACCGCAUAACGUCGCAAGACCAAAGAGGGGGACCUUAGGGCCUCUUGCCAUCGGAUGUGCCCAGAUGGGAUUAGCUAGUAGGUGGGGUAACGGCUCACCUAGGCGACGAUCCCUAGCUGGUCUGAGAGGAUGACCAGCCACACUGGAACUGAGACACGGUCCAGACUCCUACGGGAGGCAGCAGUGGGGAAUAUUGCACAAUGGGCGCAAGCCUGAUGCAGCCAUGCCGCGUGUAUGAAGAAGGCCUUCGGGUUGUAAAGUACUUUCAGCGGGGAGGAAGGGAGUAAAGUUAAUACCUUUGCUCAUUGACGUUACCCGCAGAAGAAGCACCGGCUAACUCCGUG